ensembl:lncRNA
ACUGUAUGCUCAUGAGUGGGAGUUUGUCACUCUAAGAGCGAGAUGUUCUGACCCAUUACAUGCCAACUUGGGUAACAUGCCAAGCUUUCUUUAAACUUAAUUUUCGACAUUGUUCUUCACUAACUGUGCAGAAAUAAGCAAUCUGAUGCAAAUACCGACCUUAACAUGCAAAAAUAAAGUCGUGAGCACAAAUAAAUUUUAAAUCACCCACUUAGAUCUAUAUUUUACUGCCCUCAUUUCAUUAGGGAAAUUAAUUAGUAAAUCAUUGCAUUCUGUUUUUAGUUACAUUUUACACAGUGUCCCAACUUUUUUGGAAUUGGGGUUAUAGUAUUAUUAUUAAUGAGUUGGUAUAGAUGAGUUGUUAUAGAAAAACUCAUCUAUAAUAAGUCAUUAUUAUUAUUAUUAUUAUUAUUAUUAUUAUUAUUAUUAUUAUUAUUAUUAUCAUCAUCAUCAUCAAUACCUUAGAUUUAUAUAGUGCUUUUCUAGAAACCCAAAAGGACUUGUAUGGCAGAUACCCCACAUAAUCCAAGAUUAAUAAUGAAUAAAAUAAAUCUAAUGUUAUUUAACAAAGGAAAAGAUAAUUAUUGAGAUGGUGAAGUGUUCUGUAAGAAGAUGUGCAUUUAACAUUUAUCAAAGGAGUCCUGAAUGUCAGUGCUUUGUAACGGUUAGUUUUCACUCACGUGUAAAUCUUCAGGACAGAGGACUUUGCACUUUCCAGUUUCUCAGUAACAUGACAAGCUCAGUUUUUAGCUUCAAGUGUGAGAAAAUAGUGAUUCUGGUGAGAGAGUGAAUGUUUCUAGUUGAUAACAGGAACUAAUUUUCUUUGCAGAUGUUCCGUAACAUUAAAUGUAACUAUAAACAGUUAAAAUAUUGUGUUUUUCAUUACAAAAUUAAGAAGUUUCCAUGCAUUUUCCAUACUGCUAAUCCCAUGGGGAGCCUUGAGCCUAUCCCAGGAAACUCGGGGCAUAGGGCGGGGGACACGCGGGAUGGGGUUUUAUCCCAUCGCAGAGCUCAAUUGCACACCCAUUCACACACUACGGACAAUUUAUGGCUUUUUGCAGGCUUCUGAAUUAAAACAAAGACAGAAUAUCCAGAGAUAGCUGCGAAGGCUCUUAAAUAUGUACUUCCCUUUCCAACUUCAUACCUUUGCGAAGUGGGUUUUUCUGCACUGACAGCCGUUAAAACAGAGUUAGGAGCAGACUGGACAUUUGCAACACGCUUCGAGUCUCACUGUCAUCCAUCCCUCCUCGCUGGGACCAUUUUAUUGCAGGGAAACAAGCCCAGUGUCUGUUAUGCUCUUCGUUAUAAGACUCCGGCAGGGAACCUGCGAUGAAGUGUGGUUCAGUCCGCCGCGCUAAAUCCUCCAAACGUUUCGAGUCUUCUCGUCUGGAUAUUUCAGCAGACAGAUGGUUCAUUUCCUGGGACACAGCGGAGAGUCUCUGCUGAAGUGUAUCCAGUGCCAUGUCUGCCAUGUGUUUGUUCACCAGUCCCUCCACCAGCCCCUCCACCCGCCGCUCCACCGCCCAGUUCGAGCUGUUACCAUUACUGCCUUCCAUUGCUGUAUUUAAGCGAGCUAACUAGCGAACAAAACGCGACUUUAUAACACCAAAACUCUUCGUUUUGGUAAACACAUAAGACAAAGACUCGCGAAGAAAACAAGCGGAAGUGGUUGUCAUAUUGGCCCAAGCUCGCUAACGUUAUGUCACGUUACCGCAACGUCACUGCAACGUUCCCAGAACAUUGACGAACUACAUGUCCCAUAAAGCACUGGGCGAACACAGGACACAUAUAAACAGACUAGAGACCACAAACCAAGGUUAGGGCAAAUAUUUCCAAAAUUCAAGUUUUAUUCAGCGCUGUAAGAAUGUCCCCCCUUCUUUUUUUGGCAGGUUUUCUAUGUAGUUUUAAGGCUGGAGGGCCAGCAGUUACCCUGUUACACACUGUAAUCUG